UUUUGAAAAUUAAUAUGAAAUUGGAAACAUAAAAUACUAAGCACCGAUUCUCGCAACAUUCGUAACUUUAAGAAUUCGUAACUUGACAGUUCUUAUGGUAUUUUAUACAUGCAACUGUCAAAUUACCAAUUCUUAAUGUUACGAAUGCUACGAGAAUCUACGCACUGGUUUGU